AAAUAAAUAAAUACAUAGUGUAGCCUAAGUGUAUGGUAUUUAUAAAGUCUACAAUAGUGUACAGUUAUGUCCUGGGUUUUUAUAUUCACUCACCACUCACUCACUGACCCACCCAGAGCAACUUCCAGUCCUGCAAGCUCCAGUUGUAGUAACAGCCCUAAACAGGUGUACCAUAUUUUAUCUUUUAUUCUGUAUUUUUAAUAGACCUUUUUAAUGUUUAGAUAUGGUUAGAUACACAAACUUACCACUGUGUUACAAUUGUCUACAGUAUUUGGUACAGUAACAUGCUGUACAGGUUUUCAGCUCAGGAGCAAUAGGAUAUUACGUGUAGCCUAGAUGUGGAGUAGGCUACAUGGAAUACCGUUUGAGUUUGUGUAAGUAUACUCUAUGAUGUUUGCACAAUGACACAAUCGCCUAACGAUGUGUUUCUUAGAACGUAUUCCUGUCAUUAAGUGACAUAUGUCUGUAUUCUCAAAUAUGUGUCCUGAAAGUGCUGCUAUUCUCUGUGACGUGAAAAUAUCAUUGUCAUUGUUAUCAUGAUUAGCAAUUAGAAUAUUAAUUUAAUUUAAUAGACUACUUUCCUCCAAUGUGUUAAAACAUUUUACAUAAAUAUUAUCCCUUGGGGAAGCUCUCACACUUGUGCAUCAGGAGAUAGGUGAACAAAAGGGUAUUUAUUGCAGUAUUGUUUGUAAUCAGAGAAAAGGUGGGGGAUACCUUAAUAUUCACCAAUAGGAGACUUGAUAAAUAUAUUGUGCUAUAACCAUACAAUAUUGAUACAGCAUUUAAAUGAAAUGAAAUAGAACUACAUAUAUUAAUAUGAAUAUAUCUCAAAAACAGGUUGAGUGAAAAAAGCAAGUUGCAGAAUUAUACAUACAAUAUGAAACCAAUGACAUACCACAUAAAAACAUAAAGACUACGUGUUAACAUAUAGAUACACCCAUUUAUAAUAAAAAUAAAAAUAAAAUAUGCAAGAAGGAUACACAAGAAUUUUGGUAUAAUGGUUACCUCUAGGGAAGGAGGGGAAAAAUGCACAGGAAAUCAAUUGAUGUCUGUAAUGUUUUAUUUCUCAAAAAAAGAAGAGAAAGGAAAAAGAAAUAUGGUAAAUGUUAAUCUCGGCUAAAUCUUGGUGGUGGGCAUGAGGGUAUUUGUUAUUGUUGCUUCAUGAUUUUUGGCAUAUGGGAAAUCUUUAAUAAUGAAACAGUCAAUUUCUCUUCCCCAUUACCCCACUUUUUCUCAUAACCUCAGAGAGAUAAAGUAGUAUUGCAUGUGAAAAACAACCUGUCAGACUGGUUUUCUUCAUGUGGUUUUGAGGUGACCCCUUCUUUCUUUUUAAUUAAAAAACAUCACCUCAAAUUCAGAUUUGAGUAGGUUUCAAAAAAGAUCUGGACUCUAAGGGCCUUUCAUUUAUAAUGACUUUUUUUCAGAAUUUCUGAGUCCCUUUCCCUGCUCCAGCCGCCUCCAUUCUUAAAACCCUCUGUGGGCUUCCUGUUGUUGUCAGGAUAAAAACCCCAGGCUGCUCUGAGGCCUGCAGCCCUGAAGCAUCCAGCCCCAGCCUCCUCCUCUGACUGUUGGACUUUUUCUACCACAUUCAUAGUUCUUUCCGUGGAGGCAGGAAGGAGGGGAGUUAGGGUCUUCACAGGUUGGUGGCCUCUGCCAGGCUUGCUGUCACCCCUAGUCCCUCUUCAGCUCUAAGCUCUAGGUGACUCUUCCAGGACGUCUGUGUUGGUCCAACUCUCUGCUGGCUCCCAGUGUCAGGCAUGGUUCCUAGGACAUAUGAUCAAUAUGUAUUUGUUAACUCUCACUAACUAACCUGAAAUUAGAAUUAUACAGAUUAAAUAGAACCAGAUGACACUUUAACACCCACCAUCCCUUUUAUGAAUGGUGAUAUGUUUAUUUAUCCUUGCUCUAUUUUUGCUAUACAUGACAAUGAUAGGUAUAAAGUUAACUACCUUAUCCAAUUCAUAGAAAUUUCUACUAUGUGUCUUUGGACAUAUCUAAAUUUAAUAUUACUUCAUUUCAGUGGAUCCUAAUGUAAAGAGCCUAUUGCCUCAUGAAUUAAGUAGUAUUAGUUAUUUUUAAGUAAGUUAUCUGUAAAAUAGAUGGUCUGUUCUCCAGGUCAGGAGCAUGCAUUGAUAACAGAAAUUCCCAAGAAUUUUCACUGAGUUUAAUGUCAGUAUUGGCAAGCACUGCAUGGGAAGGAAAUCACAGCAACACAUUCUGAUAAAGUAGAAGCCUGUCUGAAGCAGGCUUGUAUUAAACCAAGGAGUUUAAAAUUAAGUAUAAUUUUUUGAUAGUUUCAUUGUACCAGGCAGCUUCUUGGAAUGGAUUCAUAGGGUGGCAUUAGAAUCAGAAUCUUCUGGCCGGGCAUGGUAGCUCAUGCCUGUAAUCCCAACAUUUUGGGAGGCUGAGGCGGGAGAAUCAACUGAGGUCAGGAGUUCGAGACCAGCCUGGCCAACAUGGUGAAACCCCGUCUCUACCAAAAAUACAAAAAUUAGCUGGGUAUAGUGGUGCAUGCCUGUAGUCCCAGCUACUCAGGAGGCUGAGGCAUGAGUAUCACUUCAACCCAGGAGGUGUAGGUUGCAGUGAGCCAAGAUCGCACCACCACACUUUAGCCUGGGUUUAGGAGUGAGGCUCUGUCUCAAAAAAAAAAAAAAAAAAAAGGGAAAAAAGAAAGAAAAGAAUCAGAAUCUUCUGAGCUUAAUAAUGCAAGUGAAAAUUUAUGUAGUGUCUCUCUUGCUUUUUGUAUGAGAGGUUGAAAGCCUGCACAUCUUAAUAAGGUAUACCUAAUAACAUGUUAAUAACUCACAUAUUGUCCGCUUUGGACUACAGACCUUAAAUGAAAGGGCCUUCAUAAAUUAUACAUGUCUGACAAAUAGGUGAUACAUUUUUCAAAUCACAUAAGCUCUUCAGAAUCAAGUCUGCUUUGUGGAGAUAAUUAAAGAAAAUCAAUGUGUUUUGGUUGAUAGAUAUUUGACUAGAAAACACAUUCUCCCCUCAACUCAGACAAUGGGGCGCCUAAGCUUCAAGACCAGUGUUCUCUGAAGACAGAGUGAGGGAUGGGAUUGGAAGGCUCAAGUGUUCUGGGUGCAGGACUUAUGACUCCAGACACCAGGUUCUCCCUGUGGUACCGGUCCUGACCCUAACUUCCCACUGAGCUGAGGGCAAUUGAGUUGAACUCCUGAUCUCUGUCUCUUUCCCUGGGUCAAGGAAUAUGAUUCUUUUUGUCUCACUGGGACCACGAGAGGCUUAAUUCAUCAAUGUUGGUAAAGUGCUAGGAAGAUGAGAAGUGCUGUGCCCAUUCUAAGCAACAUUAUUGAUUCACUUUUUCCUUGUGGUUAAUAUAAAGUUCUCCACAUAUCAGAUAAUGGCUCAGCGUUGCAUAAACAGCCAAGAAUCGCUAGUGGGAGAGAUGUGGCCUGUGUUUUCUCUUAGGAAUAUUGAUGUCUGUAAAAUGCCUUCAGUUUCUCUGAAAAAACAUUAUUACAUGAUUUAAGCUGAUUAUAUUAUUGUUGUAUUUUUAUCUGCAUAUCAGAGUCUUUUUUUAUUUGUUUGUAUUGUUUUGUUUUUCAGUAAUGAUCUGAAAUAAUGUUGAGCCCAGUAAAUAUUUUAUGUUAAGGAAGGCCUAGAUUGGUAAAAAUUUUGCUUAUCUAUUUUGGGUUGCCCUGUCCACUAAAUAAUAGGGGGAUACACACACACACACACACACACACACACACACACACACACACACAGAAAACUCUGUGUGUAUUUAACAUAUGUAUAUAGUGUGUAUGUAUAUGUAUACAUAAUGCUAAUGUGCAUUACCCAUAAUUCAUAAUCUUGUUCAUUAAAUCACAGGAUGUGUGUGUAUAUGCAUAUAUAUGUGCACAUAGAUACAUACACGUAUAAAAACAUAUAUCAUGUUAAUAUGCUUACUUAUGUAUUUACCAUUAUUCUGAAAUAACAUGAUAAGUAACUGUUAAUUAUGGCAUUUAGCUAAUUCACCAUUCUUGGAAAGAUUUUAGGAAUUGCAUUCCUGAAAUUGCUUUCAACAGGAAUUUUAUAAGCAUAUAUAGAAUCUCAACCAGUUACUUUAUUGUUAUACUUGAAAAAAACUUGAAUUGGAAUAAUACAGCUUGAUCAUCUACCUUAUAGUUCAUCAGACUUGGUUCUGGAUCACUUCUUCCUGUUUCCAAAUUCUAAACAUCCUCAGGAAAUGGAGAAUUCAACACCACUAGUUAUCAUAAAAAUGGAUGUUCAGUGGACUGUCGCAAUGAAGUAACAGAAUCCCCAGUUUUCAGCUGGUCACAUGGCAGCCCAGAAUAAAGCCACAUCUCUCAGCCUCCCUUGCAGCUUGGUGUGCCAGUGCCGAAGCUUGGAUGAUGCUGUGGAGGAGUAAGUGUUCUGGGGCAGCUUCUGAGAACUUCCUUUAAGUGUCAGCUGCAUCUCCUUUGGCCCUCCUUUUUCGUCUUCUUCUUGAUCAUGGGAUAUGUGGAUGUAACUGCUGGAGUUCCUGUGACCAUGUUGGACCAUGCAGAUGAGGGCCUUGCUUAGGAGUGGGGAGUGGAGUCUGGCAGGAGCUGGGACCCUGUGUUCACAGGGCUGCGUAUUGCCCUGGACUUUUACAUGAGAGAGCUGAUGAACUGUGAUCUGUCUGUUAUUUUGGGUGUCGGACACUUCCAGCCAAAUGUGAUCCUGAUAGGAACGUCCUACAAAGUGAGCACUUUAAGUAUGGAGGGGACAAUAUACAGAGCAGUGAUGAGAAUGGAGAAUGGCAAUGAGGGAAGGCUUCCUGGAAGAAUCUGCUAUCCCAGCCCAAGCUCUUCUCUUAUCUCUCAUUAUUUCUUCUGUCUUACUGUUUUGUGAACAUGACGCUUUCUCUCUUCCUGACCUUUGCUCAUGCUGUUCCUUCUGCAAUGCUUUCUCUGGUUAUCUUCCUGCUUGUCUAGUUAAUUUUAUAAUUAUAUUAAAUUAUACAGUCCGCAUAAGUACUUAACACGGCUAGUAAAUCUGUGUAAACACCACGUACAUUUUGCUGUUAUGCUCCUUAUCAUGAUUACUAGCCAGGUCAAAUUUUGCCUCUUUUCCGAAACCUCUCUUGAACACUCUUCCUCUUUGGUACUGCAGUAGUACUGCCACUCAGUACCCUAACACCUGACACUUAAAAUGUAUUUCACUCACAUCAGAACCCUGAUAUCUGGCACCUAGUGGUGCUCGGGAAAUGUUUGCUGAAUGCAACUGUGUUAUACCAGUUCUGUUUAGGGGAAGUAACUCUGUGUUCUGUUUAGGGGAAGUAACUCUGGCUAGUUAUUUGUGUAGCUACUACUCAAGAGGAAUGGAGGGACAAGAUCAGUGUGGCCCCCAAGCUUCCGUCUUCUUUGUCUCCUGGCUUCUUUGCCAUUGUGUCACCUCCCCAUCCUCAGGCUGUUAUUCUUAUGGCCACUUCUGUAAAGGAAGGUCAUAGCAAAACAGCUUCAGCCUUGCCUUAGCUUGCCUCCUGAAUCCUCAGCUUUGCCGACCUGAAUUCUAAUCACUGCUUUUUAGGGGUCAGAGGAAUGGAGGCAAACAAACAGAUCAGUAUGGGGUUGGGAGGAGUCAAAGCUGUAUUUGCAAGGUUACUCCAUUUUGACAGCAACAGGACUGGUAUUUGAAGGCAAUUUUUUUUUUUUGAGACGGAGUCUUGCUCUCUUGCCCAGGCUGGAGUGCAGUGGUGCAAUCUUGGCUCACUGCAAGCUCCGCCUCCCAGGUUCAUGCCAUUCUUCUGCCUCAGCCUCCCGAGUAGCUGGGACUACAGGCGUGUGCCACCAGGCCGGCUAAUUUUUGUAUUUUUUUUUUUUUUAGUAGAGACGGGGUUUCACCUUGUUAGUCAGGAUGGUCUUGAUCUCCUGACCUCGUGAUCCGCCCACCUCGGCCUUCCAAAGUGCUGGGAUUACAGGCGUGAGCCACCACGCCCAGCCUGAAGGCAACUUUUAUACAGUAUUAUGCUAUCCUUUGGUUUACAUGUUUCUGCUAGAUGGGAUUGCUAUGCCAACACACCCCAUGUGUGGAACUGUGUCUCAGUUCCCACCCUCAGCUCUACUAAGGUGUCCCCCUUGCACUUUCCUCCCUCCAGUCCCUUGGGCUAUUGGCACUGUCACUCAGGUGUCCAGGCAGCUGACAUGGGUGGUAGAAGCAGGCAUUAUCCCGUUGUCUCAGUUGGGCUUAUACAGGGACUCCUGCUUGGUCUUUGGGAGUUCAGAUGCUAAAAAGUCCCCUGUCAAGAAUAAGGAGGGCCUUGACACUGAAGGGAUGAGGCAGAUUUUGCUCCAGAUGGUCUUUGGAAAAAGGAAUUAGUACAGCCAGAUUGGAAAGUUUUAGUGAUUGAGAAAGAAGUACUGAUUUUGAUGAAUCAUUUCCACAGUCCCUGCCCUAUUUCUUGGUCUUGUCUCUGUUUGGAGGACUGAGUGAAAGUGUCCAUCCAGCUUCCUCCCAUCGGUGCUAACAAACUGCACUGGCUGGAUUUUGGUACCACAUUCCCACGGUGGUAUGUCUUAGGUCUCAGGCCAGCGUCCAAAGAGACCAUAUAUUAUUGUAAUUGACUAUUUUAUUGAGACCCUUAUAAUCAUACCUACUUUACCCAGUAAAGCAAUUCUUGCUUUCUUAUUCACAAGCUUUUUCCGGAUAGUAGGUGAUUACAAUAUGUCCCUCAUCUAAGCCUCCACCUAUGAUUUCCAAACAGUAAAGUUCCUCAGCUGAAUAUUAGUUAUCCCUCUUGUUUUUUUUAAAAGUGACAUUAGGAAAUGGCUAAACAUUUUAUUGCCUUCUUAUUGUCAUCUGCUUUUCCUCCACCCACCUCCUGGGUAGGUACAACAGAGCUUGCAGGGUGGCAGUGGUAGAAUGGCAUGUGGGCCAUAGACUUGUUUCAUUUGGCUUGUAGAGAACUUAACAUUUUGAGGAGGGAUUAUUUCCUAGUUAAUAAGUGGGAGAUUUCAACUCACAUAAAAACCUAGAUUCCCAACUUUUAAAAAGUCAGUUUCCACUUGAUGACAGUCAGCUACUACUGGGCAAUGGUUGCCUCUCUUAACCAAGGCAUUUUCUCACCAGUUCACCAUCACUGGCCCACAUUUGUCUAGCUUCUUCAUUAUCUGCUUAGCCCAGAGGGCAUUUGGUUUGAGACCCUUGACACAGCCCCCUUCUCCAGCUCCCACACUUUUCAGUGUCUGCUUUGCUACUCCUGCUGUCUCAGAUAUUCCCUCCAAUGGGCCUUUUCCUCACCAAUCCCGGCUGUAACAAAUCCUGUACAGCAGCCCUAUGCACUCUUCCUGGGGAAGAGCUCUAUGCUUUAUUUCCCCACAGAUUUAGUUGCAGUUGGGAAGCUGAGUGCUGACCUCCAGGUAAAUAUUGGAGAUCUAUGGGCAGAUCCCAGCCUGUUGGCUGGAGGUGCUAGUUCUGGUGCCAUGGACAUAUGGGUCUGACCCUGCAGUCUUUUGCCCUGCUCCUGAACUCCCAGUUUUGAGCUUGAUUGCAGCCUACAAUUAGGGGCAGAGCAGUAUGGGGAGUUGUUUUUAUCCUUUUGGAGAACUGUGGGCUUUCCCCAUAAUAAAUGCUGUAAUAUAAUGAUAACCGCACAGUUGCUUUACAGUUUUUUCGUUAAGUUCCUUCUUAUAAAUCAUUCCUUUACAUGUCUCAAUGACCUGAUGAAGUAGGUGUUAUUAUGGCCCCUGUUUUGCAGAUGAGCCCUAGAGGAGGCUCAGAGCACCUGCCCAAGAUUUCAUGGUCACAGCCCAUCAGGGUCUCAGGCGCCCAUGGUUUUUUAUUUAAAAAAAUUGUUUUAAGCUAUCAUACUGCUCACUGUGUGGCCUCAAUUUUAGGCUUGAAUGUUUCUCCAAAUCUGUAAAUGCCUAUAGACACAACUUAGCACACAGGAGCAUCAGGGUUACUAGUUACAUUCACCCUAUCACUGAAUAGGCCAUCAACAGAACCCAAAGAGAAAAAAAUCCCCAGUACUGUUUAUAUGCCAGUGAAUUUCUCAACCUAAACUCUCUGAAUCCUGAGCUAUAAAUGUUAGAAAUAUAUACAUUUUUAGUAACAAAAAUGGCUUUGGCAUUUCUAAAUAUUCAGAAAUUUGCAACCAUUACCUUCUUUAUUAUAUCUACACACCUUUAUAUUCUUAAUUGUUUAAAAUUCAAAAUUGACAGAUGUUAAAAAAGUUGGUUACAUUUUAACUAAUAAUAAUCAUAUGGGUUUGAUAUGCUGGCUAUGUUUUUUAAAUGUCCAUGGAAAUAAAUAUAUAAGUACGAAUUUUGUUUUAAAGAUUUUCCAUGUAUUAUCUAAAAUUAUGGUACAUUUGUCACCCCUUGGGGAAAUCCUGCUUCUGAUGGAAAAAACCAUGCAAAUUGCAGCUCUUUAUUUUUGUGUCACUGGUGAGCUUCCCUGGCUCAGUGUUGUGAGUGCAUGAUGUAUAAUGCGACAGGCAUGGAACUGUAAAUGAAAAUAAAAUUUCAGGGCCCUCUAAAUUUAUUAUGCCAAGGGAAGUUACGCCCUGGAGACUGAACCACAUAGUAUACUUGCAAUUCUGCUUCUUAGAUUAUAGAUUAGCUCUCUUCUUUAUUGUUCUAGUUCUAAAAUGACUAGGAGAGACCAGAGACCAGGCCUUCUACCCCUUCUAAUCACUGAUCUUUGUUCUAGGUUAAUUGCCUCUUUUAUUGUCCUGUACCUAACUCAGACCAUAUGGUGCCCAAGAACCCAUGAUUGUACCCAUCUUCAUAUGGAAUGUUUAAUAUACCUCUCCUGAAAGAAAAAAAGACCACUUUGACUAAUCAGAUCAUUGAAAGUAUGCAUUAAGCCUAACAUAGAAGGGUGUCGAAAUUCUGUUAAGCUUCCCUAUACUUUAUGUAAGCAAUUGCAAACUUCUACACUUCACGACACUGACUUCCAUUCUUUGGGAUCUGUGCCUCCCAGGAGGCUCAUCCUCAAACUUUGCAUUUGAGUAAACUCUUUUAAAACUAGAUUCUGACAAUUUUGAUCAUUUUAGGUUGACAGAACAGAUUCACUGGGGGGACCUGGCAAUAGUGUGUUGCUGUCACUAUCUAUCUGUUGCGCCUUCCUAGGGUUUUGUGUGGUCAUGAGCAGAGCUGGUGUUUUGGAAGAUACUGAGUGUGCUGAGCACAUGUGAUGACCCAUGUUCUUUGAGAGACAGUCCCUUAUGGUGGUUCUUUCUCAAGGCUGGGGACUUGCAUUCUUCACCAGGCUUUGUGGAGAAUCAAAAUUUAUCCCUUGUUGAAAACCUCCACCUGUAAGAGCUUACAGUGGGAACUUUGAGACUUUUGAACUCAAUUAAGCAAAUUUAUGCAUAUCGUAAGCUAGUUAUUAAUUUGAACAAAAGGUCCUGAUCCUUUUUUAAAAACAUGGAUUUCUACUACUAAAGAAAAAAUUAGAAAAUUUAUAUACAUUUAUUUUUAAAAAUCACUACACUGAAAGCAACAUUAAGGCCAACAGGAAUUCUUUUGGUUUAUGUGCUAGGAAUUGUUGCCUGGAUCCCAGUUUCUUCCCAGGCACUGAGUUUAUUGAUUGAGUUAUCCAUGUGGUUCAUAUUGGUAGAGUAGGGCGUAACCAGCUUAUAAGAUUCAGAUCUGGGGAAAUAAGAACUUGGCAGAUGCCCAUUGGACUAGCUGGAGAGAAAAAGAAUCUGAUAGCUCAACCUGUUGUAUGUAUCAACUUGGCCCACUGACCCACAGAACAAUCACUGUAUAACAUUUCUUUAUACAUUUUUUAAAAGCAUAUAUUGUUGUUUAGAAAUGUUUAUCCAUUCUAAUAGCUGUAGUGUUCUUCUGAAAAAUAAUUUGUAAUUUGGAAGGGAUUAUGCUUUUUAAAAUGUAUGCAUUUGGUCUGGAAUAGCCCUCAGAGGAUAUCCACACAUAUAAGUAGCAGGCUACAAACAGGACUUGGAUUAAUAGACCACAGGGGGCUAUUUAUAUGGAGAGUUUAAGUGCAUGUUAUUGUUAUUUCUAAAUUGUAUUAAUAAUAAUACCCUACACCUGUCCAGCAUGUGUAUGAGAUUUUACUGUUCUACAGAGUGCUGUUGUAUACAUCAUUGCAUUUGUUCCCCACAACAACCGUGGGAGGGAAGUUGGGAUAUUUUUAAGUGUUGACACUGAAGUCCUUUGCUUGAGAUAAAAAGUCCCAGUAAGGUGUGGGAAGGAAAAGACGCGAAGGAGACACAAGCAUUAUUUUCACUGUAUUUUUGACUAGUGUCAUUGCAAGUGUUCAGAUUGGUUUUGGACAUUUUAGUCCCCUGGGAGAGACCGUAUCUCAUUAUUUCUUCCACCUGGUAGGUGGAGUACUCUCUCAGAGGAAAAGCUGCAAAAUUAAAGGAGAAUGCUAUCUUCCACUUCACAACGCUUAAUAGCAAACUUUUGGAUUCCUCACUGAACACUUUUCUAUAUCCUUUUCGUUUCAAUAUGCGCCAUUUCUGGUAAGAUCUGGAAAAUCAAAUAAGCAUGUAGAGAUUGUCAGAGGAAACACAAGAUUCUGUUAUUAUAGGCAGUAGAGAUCAAAUUGUGACUUACAUAUUAUAGGUGGAAUAUUUUGGGCUUUCCUGAAACAUGGGAAACCAGAGACAAGCUGUAUAGUAUGUUGAUAGCCAAGCUGGAAUAGUGAAACUAGGACUCUGGAAUCCUGGAACCUGUACUGAGAAAUAUUUAAAUAAUUUAUUAUGAUUAUUUCCACAGAAUACAAUUCUAGGAUGAAAUGCUAAUUUUAUUUGACUUACAUAAAGGGAAAUUAUUACUGCAGUUACUUUUAAAGAGCUCCCUGGGUUUUCUGGGAGUAUCUGAAUUAACAGUAAAUUGAGCUCCAUUACAUAUUAAUGGGUCCAGCUGAUUUAUUGGUGGUAUAUCUGGCAAUUAGCCAUUCUGCAUAGUGUCUUCUGUUUGGCCAUUACUUUUCACUAUUGAGUGCAAGCUCAGGGAUGAGCACCUUGAAGCAAUGGGGAAGUCUGCCUGUCAACCUAAUAGGGCCUUGCAUCAUUUUAAUGGUGAGUUAUGAUCUGUCUUGAAGGAUAUUUGGACACACUUAAUAUCUUUUGGAUGACAACCAUUGGAGGCAUAAAUGAAAGUACAUGUUGUCAUUGAACCACUAAAAAUCUUCACUCAGUCACCAGAUAGCCAUUAUGUUAUAUUAAUCUCUUUGGAUAUUUCCUUUAUUUUAAAAAAUUAUACAAUUUCUUCUAGCUUCUGUGGCACUUACAGAAUGAAUUGCUGUGAGUUCAGUGUAGCACAGCAAGUUAUGGCCAACAGUGGUUAUUUGCAAGAGUUACUUUGGGUUUCCUAAUUUGUCCUCAAGAGAAAUAUUUUUUGCUCAGCCUGCAAAAUGUUGUCAUAAAAAUUGGUGAUUGAUUUUGAUUAUAAGAUUAAAUGGCUAGGCUACAGUGGCCAAUGUUGUAAAUCAAAGCAGCCCAAAGUUGUGAUUGGCCACUAGAGAAGGUUGUAACUGUGUUUUCUUGAGUUGAUAUAUUUCAAGUCUUUAUAGUAUUGACUCCUAAAGUUUACUGAAACAGUAUUUAAAGCAUCUUUCUACAGUGUUUUAAAUUAGUUUCUAGUACAAUUUAGCUUUGCCUAUCUAAACAUGCAGUAGUAGAAGAACAUACAUGAAAAUUCUCUUCUUAGAGGGAAAGCAGUUUAAGAGUUGGUGAGGGCAUGGAAUUUGUGAAACCUAAGUUAAUUGUCUGAGUUUUUAUUGGAUAUUUUUUGUACUUGGCUAUUCAGAAUUAAUUUCUCCUUCCUAAAAAAUUCUUUGCAGGAGGGACCCUUUCCCCAUUGUUUAUAGUUUGGUGCCAUCCCUCUUUUUCCGAGGGGCUAGCCCCUGAUCCAACAUAGCCAAAGGGAUGUCCCUUUCUGAAGUUUGACUGUUGAGUAGAAGAACAAACACCGAAAAAGUUUGGAGUUCCUAAUUUCCAGUCUGAUCAGAUUGUUCCUAUCACUGUCAUAGUCUGGCCAUCUGCGUGACAACUGUUUUUCAAGUCUGUUUCUCCUACAUUUGACAAUUCCGGGAGCCCCAUGGUAACAUCCUAAUAAAUUCUACUUUGCUAACCAAGCCCGAGGUGGUUUCUCUUACUUGAAACAAAAGACCUUAAUAUAUAAAUUGGGCAUUUGUUAACCCACAAGAAACUGAGGCUUCCUGAUUGGACUGUGAAUAUUUAUUCAUUAAUUUAUUCACCAAAUGUUUAUUGAGCACCUACCGUGUGUUAGGUACUCUUCUCUGUUAGGGAAACAGAAGCGAAUAAAACAAACAAAAAGAUGCGCCUUCAUGAAAGUUGCAUUCUAAUUAAGGGGGAUAGAUGAUAAGCAAGAUAAAUAUAUGUCUUUAUUUUAUAUAUAAAUAUAUGAUAUCCAAGUUAAGGAGUGAUAAGUGCUAUACAUAUUCAUGUAAAAUAUUUUUCAUAUUGGUUCUUUCCUUUUAAAGUCCCACAGAUCAGAUAAGCCUGUUGGGGGUGGAUGAUGAGAUGGAAUGACUGGGACUGAGGCUCUGCCACUCUCUUGUACCUUGCUCCAUCUGCAUAUCUCCCAAAGGGCUCCUAGUCAGGAUCUAAGCCAAGGGAGAACUAUUCAGAUGAGUAAGGAUGAGUGUCUGCUGAAAGUAGAGACCUGGAGAAUAGAGGACUUGGGUAAGACAUGGAAGUGGCAGGAGUUGAGCAAGGGUUAUAGUCUUGGAGAGGGGGAGAUUUUUCCCUUGGUGGCCCUGCCUUCAACGGGCCCCAAAGGGCUCUGGUAGGUAGAAAGAUGACAAUAAUAUUGACUCAGGAAAGUCAGACUGGGACUUGGGCAAGUGAUCAAGGAUACCAACUGAUCUGUGGUAGGGAAGGGGAGUCCAGGUCAGAAAGGGAAGGAAGCAUCAUGGGAUUGUGUGAGACAGAGCUAGGUAGCAGCUCUCAGAAUUGGUCAGGGAUCGUUGAAGGGAAGAGAGCUUGCCACCACUAACCAAGGGGAUCCCAUGAGGGAUGAAAACUUAGAAAAGGGCUCAGACUCCCUCAAGAAGAAUAGAGGUUGAGGGGAGCAAAAGGAGUAUUUGUCUUCUUGCUUGCAAUGAAAUCUAGUAUUGAGGACACUCCCUAACCUGAUGUGUACUUGAGGUCAAAAUGAAGAGGUUUGGUGAGAAGUGCUAGGAUGUGGUUAUGCUAAGGUGGGAAGGAUCCACACCAGCCCCGUCAGUCUGGAAACAGAGGAUGUGACAGAGAAGAUAACUUUCCACCACUCCUGGAGACUCCUGAUUGGUGUGUUGGUCACCCACAGAGAGGGGCUGGGUAUAUGGAAGAAAAACACAUGCCAACAAGGAAGAAUCCCAGUCAUUUGUCAGCUACCUGCUACUGGCCUGGAAUGAAAAGAAAAGUUAUGAUACUUAUUGAUUUCCUGGUAAUGUGGACAGACAGGAACAGAGUAGGCUGAACAAAUACUUGACAGGUUCAGCUGGGAAAUGAGCACCAAAUUUUCUGGAACAUAUUCAUUCCUGAUGAUUUUCUAUAGGAAUAAAUGACACUUUCAGAAGAGAACCUUGAAAUGAACCUUGAAAUGCCUUUAAGGUUUAUGGAAACUUGGGCAUCUAAUUUAAGUACAUGAAACAUUGCUUUUGUUAUAUAUUGCUGCACAAGGCACCCCAAAAACUUAGUAGCUUAAAACAACAGUUUUUUAUGGUAUGAUACAGUUCUAGAUUCAGCUUGUGGUCCUUACUUGCAGUCAGAUUGUGGUUGGGGCGGUAGCCAUCUGGAGACUCACCAGGGCUAGAAGAUCUACCUCCAAGAGGGUUUAUUUUCUCAUACAUCUGGCAUAUGGGCUGGGGUAUCUGGAAUAGCUUCAGCCUGGCCAGGUUCCAUCUUUUUUCCACGCAGUCUCUCUGCAUCAUUAUCUUGAUAUUCCUCAUAGAAUGAGGGUCUCGGUAUAAUUGGAUUUUUUUUACAUCGUGACUGAUUUUUCUCAGAGCAAGUGUUCUAUGAGAGCAAGGCAGAAGCAGUGAGCCUUCUUAUGACCUAGCCUCAGAAGGCAUCACGAAUUAUUUCUAUCUCAUUCUAUUGGUUAUAAAGACUAGUCCAAAAUCAUCUUGGGAAUGGACUACACAAGAAUGUGUAUAACUAAAGGCCUGUUCACUGUGUGUGUGUGUGUGUGUGUGUGCACAUGCAUGCAUGCAUAUAUAUUGGAGACUUCUACCACGAGCAUGGUGUUUUCUUCUCCUUGGCAUAUAUUAUGACUUUAGAAGAGAAAGGAGAUCUUUGAUGAAUCAUUGGCCUUGAAUUUCUACAAUAGGAUUUAAGAUGCCUUAGUGACAGGCUCUUGCAAAACUAUCAAGGUCACCACUAAAGGAAGAACCUGUUUUUCCCAGAAGUAUUCCAAAGACUUUCUGAAACAGAACUCAAUUUUAGGACGUAGGGGAAAAGUGAAUCACCUUUAUGCUGUUCAGAGGAGAGUUUGAAUAAUAUCAAUAAGUUUUAUAUCUAUAUAGAUAUGAAUAUACUUAAAGUUAGAUGAUGUUUUUUAAGAAAGUAAAUGAAUGAGCAUAAAUUUUUUUUAGACUUCAUAACAAAAAACA